rnacentral:rRNA from 1 species
AUGAUGUAUAAGAGAGGGUUUAGUACUAACUGGAUGAGGAAAGUUAAAUCUCUCUUAUACAAAGGUUCUGUUGGGGUCACUAUCAAUAAUAGGAAUAGUGAUUUUUUUAUUGCGGGCAAAGGAGUGAGGCAAGGGGACCCCUAUUCCCCUUCGCUUUUCAACCUAGUAGCUGAUGUUUUUACAAAAAUUCUUAUUAAAGCCUCCAGAAAUAAUAUCCUGGAAGGCCUCUUCCCUAGUUCCAAUCCUGCUGGCAUCAUUAGUAUGCAAUAUGCGGAUGACACAUUACUUUUCCUCAGCAAUAAUAAAUCCCAUGCGAAAAACCUUAAGUGGUUACUUUCCUGCUUUGAACAUCUAUCUGGCAUGCGGAUUAAUUUUCAUAAAUGUGACCUGGUUCCCAUUAAUAUCAAUGAGGAUGAUGCCAAUAUCUUUGCACAAAUACUUGGUUGCAAAUUGAGUGAGUUCCCUAUUAAAUAUUUAGGUGCUCCUCUUCAUCACAGGAAGCUUAAGAAAAGUGAGCUUCAACCUACUGUUGAUAAGAUUAUCAAGAGAGGGGCUGGAUGGAGGGCGAGACUUCUGUCUUCGGGCAAAAGACUCACAUUAGUGAAAACUUGCUUAUCCACUAUCCCUAGUUAUCUUAUGGGGAUUAUUAAAUUCUGA